GAGACAGCAGUAGCCGCGGGAAUACAGAGGAUGCAAGUGUUAUCCAAAAUGAUUGGGCGUAAGGCGUCUGUAGGUGGCUUUUCAAGUCCACCGUCAAAUCCCCGGGCUCAACCCUGGACAGGCAGUGGAAACUACCAAGCUGGAGUAUGGUAGGGGCAGAGGGAAUUUCCGGUGGAGUGGUGAAAUGCGUUGAGAUCGGAAAGAACACCAACGGCAAAAGCACUCUGCUAGGCCGACACUGACACUGAGAGACGAAAGCUAGGGGUGAAAAUGGGAUUAGAUACCCCCGUAGUCCCUGUCUCUUAUAA
rnacentral:rRNA from 1 species